UUCAUUGCGCAGUGUUCUGAAAGUUGGAUUGGUUCAGUUUUCACUUUCUAGUUAGGUGUGAAGACGUUUUCUCCUUUCAUUUCCCCCAUGCUGAUUGAGUGUUUUCCUGUACCAUAGUAACUACAUUGAUUACUAAAUCAGAAUUCAUUUAGCUCACCACUUCUCUUGAAUGUGAUUGACCUACUUGAAAAAUAUUAAUACCUUUAACUUUUGGAAACUAUUAGUCUUCAUAAACUACCCCAAAGCCACUAAAAUGAAACAACAUUGUGUGCUUAUUGAAGUGAAGACUUAUGAUCCUUCUGGUGACUCCACACUUCCAACCUGUUCUAAAAAACGCAAAAUAGAACAGGUAGAUAAAGAGGAUGAAAUUACUGAAAAGAAAGCCAAAAAAGCCAAGAUUAAAGUUAAAGUUGAAGAAGAGGAAGAAGAAGAAAAAGUGGCAGAAGAAGAAGAAACAUCUGUGAAGAAGAAGAAGAAAAAGGGUAAAAAGAAACACAUUAAGGAAGAACCACUUUCUGAGGAAGAACCAUGUACCAGUACAGCAAUUGCUAGUCCAGAGAAAAAGAAGAAAAAGAAAAAAAAGAGAGAUAACGAGGAU
rnacentral:sRNA from 1 species